UAGAGAUAGGGGGAUAGAAAUAAUGCACACAGGUGGUGCAUGGUUGUCGUCAGCUCGUGUCGUGAGAUGUUGGGUUAAGUCCCGCAACGAGCGCAACCCUUGUCGCAUGUUACCAGCAGUAAGAUGGGGACUCAUGCGAGACUGCCGGUGAUAAACCGGAGGAAGGCGGGGAUGACGUCAAAUCAUCAUGCCCCUUAUGGCCUGGGCGACACACGUACUACAGUGGCGACUACAGAGGGAAGCGAGACAGUGAUGUUAAGCGGACCCCAAAAAGGUCGUCCCAGUUCGGAUUGAAGUCUGCAACUCGACUUCAUGAAGCCGGAAUCGCUAGUAAUCGCAGAUCAGCAUGCUGCGGUGAAUACGUUCUCGGGCCUUGUACACACCGCCCGUCAAACCAUGGGAGUCGGUAAUGCCCGAAGCCGGUGGCAUAACCUAGAAAUAGGAGUGAGCCGUCGAAGGCAGGACUGAUGACUGGGGUUAAGUCGUAACAAGGUAUCCCUACGGGAACGUGCGGUUGGAUCACCUCCUU
rnacentral:rRNA from 1 species